rnacentral:RNase_P_RNA from 1 species
CGAGAUGCACAGACGAUCGCCGGAUCCGUUUGGAUCGGGAGGAAAGUCCGGGCUCCACAGGGUAGGAUGCCGGGUAACGCCCGGUGAAGGUGACUUCGAGGACAGUGCCACAGAAAGCAAACCGCUGGCCUAGAGCCAGUAAGGGUGAAAGGGUGGUGUAAGAGACCACCGCGAGUUCGGUAACGGACUCGGCACGGCAAACCCCAUCCGGAGCAAGGCCAAGCAGAGGAGUCGGGUGACCCGCCCAUCGCCUCCUCGGGUAGGCUGCUCAGAGACUCUCGGUGACGGGAGUCCUAGAGGAAUGAUCGUCAGGCCCAGGCGGGUGACCGCCGAGGCACCACAGAACCCGGCUUACGUGGAUCUCGCUCC